CAGAUGACAGCAGGGCCUCCUGCAUCUGGUCACUGAGCACGAACUGAUUUCCUCUACACAGGUACUCAGCUCCACGCCUGGCACGUGGCCUUUCCUGGCUCCAUGCAGCUCCCAAACUGAAUGAGAUCUCCAAAUUACGUACUUUCCUGGCUGAAUCACACAAAGCCAGCAGGUGGCAACUCCAGAUGUCGCAGUAGUGACACCGCGAGUGACUGGCAGGUCCCGAGGACUCACCCAGCUAACAACAGGCUUCAAGGCUGCUGGGAGAAGCAGCAGGAGACACUGUUAACAAGACGGAUGCUGCUGCACGCGCUCACCGUGGGGAGUGCUG